rnacentral:rRNA from 1 species
UUUUGUAUAAUGGGUCAGCGACUUAUAUUCUGUAGCAAGGUUAACCGAAUAGGGGAGCCGAAGGGAAACCGAGUCUUAACUGGGCGUUAAGUUGCAGGGUAUAGACCCGAAACCCGGUGAUCUAGCCAUGGGCAGGUUGAAGGUUGGGUAACACUAACUGGAGGACCGAACCGACUAAUGUUGAAAAAUUAGCGGAUGACUUGUGGCUGGGGGUGAAAGGCCAAUCAAACCGGGAGAUAGCUGGUUCUCCCCGAAAGCUAUUUAGGUAGCGCCUCGUGAAUUCAUCUCCGGGGGUAGAGCACUGUUUCGGCAAGGGGGUCAUCCCGACUUACCAACCCGAUGCAAACUGCGAAUACCGGAGAAUGUUAUCACGGGAGACACACGGCGGGUGCUAACGUCCGUCGUGAAGAGGGAAACAACCCAGACCGCCAGCUAAGGUCCCAAAGUCAUGGUUAAGUGGGAAACGAUGUGGGAAGGCCCAGACAGCCAGGAUGUUGGCUUAGAAGCAGCCAUCAUUUAAAGAAAGCGUAAUAGCUCACUGGUCGAGUCGGCCUGCGCGGAAGAUGUAACGGGGCUAAACCAUGCACCGAAGCUGCGGCAGCGACGCUUAUGCGUUGUUGGGUAGGGGAGCGUUCUGUAAGCCUGUGAAGGUGUGCUGUGAGGCAUGCUGGAGGUAUCAGAAGUGCGAAUGCUGACAUAAGUAACGAUAAAGCGGGUGAAAAGCCCGCUCGCCGGAAGACCAAGGGUUCCUGUCCAACGUUAAUCGGGGCAGGGUGAGUCGACCCCUAAGGCGAGGCCGAAAGGCGUAGUCGAUGGGAAACAGGUUAAUAUUCCUGUACUUGGUGUUACUGCGAAGGGGGGACGGAGAAGGCUAUGUUGGCCGGGCGACGGUUGUCCCGGUUUAAGCGUGUAGGCUGGUUUUCCAGGCAAAUCCGGAAAAUCAAGGCUGAGGCGUGAUGACGAGGCACUACGGUGCUGAAGCAACAAAUGCCCUGCUUCCAGGAAAAGCCUCUAAGCAUCAGGUAACAUCAAAUCGUACCCCAAACCGACACAGGUGGUCAGGUAGAGAAUACCAAGGCGCUUGAGAGAACUCGGGUGAAGGAACUAGGCAAAAUGGUGCCGUAACUUCGGGAGAAGGCACGCUGAUAGGUAGGUGAAGCGACUUGCUCGUGGAGCUGAAAUCAGUCGAAGAUACCAGCUGGCUGCAACUGUUUAUUAAAAACACAGCACUGUGCAAACACGAAAGUGGACGUAUACGGUGUGACGCCUGCCCGGUGCCGGAAGGUUAAUUGAUGGGGUCAGCCGCAAGGCGAAGCUCUUGAUCGAAGCCCCGGUAAACGGCGGCCGUAACUAUAACGGUCCUAAGGUAGCGAAAUUCCUUGUCGGGUAAGUUCCGACCUGCACGAAUGGCGUAAUGAUGGCCAGGCUGUCUCCACCCGAGACUCAGUGAAAUUGAACUCGCUGUGAAGAUGCAGUGUACCCGCGGCAAGACGGAAAGACCCCGUGAACCUUUACUAUAGCUUGACACUGAACAUUGAGCCUUGAUGUGUAGGAUAGGUGGGAGGCUUUGAAGCGUGGACGCCAGUCUGCGUGGAGCCGACCUUGAAAUACCACCCUUUAAUGUUUGAUGUUCUAACGUGGACCCGUGAUCCGGGUUGCGGACAGUGUCUGGUGGGUAGUUUGACUGGGGCGGUCUCCUCCUAAAGAGUAACGGAGGAGCACGAAGGUUGGCUAAUCCUGGUCGGACAUCAGGAGGUUAGUGCAAUGGCAUAAGCCAGCUUGACUGCGAGCGUGACGGCGCGAGCAGGUGCGAAAGCAGGUCAUAGUGAUCCGGUGGUUCUGAAUGGAAGGGCCAUCGCUCAACGGAUAAAAGGUACUCCGGGGAUAACAGGCUGAUACCGCCCAAGAGUUCAUAUCGACGGCGGUGUUUGGCACCUCGAUGUCGGCUCAUCACAUCCUGGGGCUGAAGUAGGUCCCAAGGGUAUGGCUGUUCGCCAUUUAAAGUGGUACGCGAGCUGGGUUUAGAACGUCGUGAGACAGUUCGGUCCCUAUCUGCCGUGGGCGCUGGAGAACUGAGGGGGGCUGCUCCUAGUACGAGAGGACCGGAGUGGACGCAUCACUGGUGUUCGGGUUGUCAUGCCAAUGGCACUGCCCGGUAGCUAAAUGCGGAAGAGAUAAGUGCUGAAAGCAUCUAAGCACGAAACUUGCCCCGAGAUGAGUUCUCCCUGACUCCUUGAGAGUCCUGAAGGAACGUUGAAGACGACGACGUUGAUAGGCCGGGUGUGUAAGCGCAGCGAUGCGUUGAGCUAACCGGUACUAAUGAACCGUGAGGCUUAACCUU